UGUAAUAUCGGUUCUUGUACGAUUAACGAAGUUAAGCAACGUUGAGCCUGGCCAGUACCUAGAUGGGUGACCGCUUAGGAAUACCAGGUGCUGUAAG